rnacentral:rRNA from 1 species
ACACGACUACAUUAGAUACCCCGGUAGUCCUAGCCGUAAACGAUACUCGCUAGGUGUCGGCCACGGUGCGACCGUUGUCGGUGCCGUAGGGAAGCCGUGAAGCGAGCCACCUGGGGAGUACGUCCGCAAGGAUGAAACUUAAAGGAAUUGGGCGGGGGAGCACCGCAACGGGAGGAGCGUGCGGUUUAAUUGGAUUCAACGCCGAAAAACUCACCAGCAGCGACUGUUACAUGAAAGUCAGGUUGAUGACCUUACUAGAUUUUCAG